UGGCAUAGUGGUUAAGUGCUAUGGCUGCUAACCAAAAAGUCGGCAGUUCAAAUCUGCC
rnacentral:tRNA from 1 species